GGUAGGCUGUUGGCAGCAACUGCCUUCUCUCCUCUGUUGUCUAUUCAGUGCUCAUUUUAGUCAUUUUUGUGUCAUAGAAGCUCGCUUGGGUGUUGCUGCUGGCUGCAUGCUUCUCACCGCUCCUUAUGCCUCUCACUGUUCGCUGCUGGUAGCUCUCGUGUAGCGUCGCUCCCUCCGCUCCACGCUGUGUUGUUCUGGACUGCCUGACCGAAACACGGGGAUAGAUUGAGAACUGUAGCCUACUUCUCCAGCAGGCUGGAUCCAGUGGCGGCUGGACUUCCUGUUUGCCUGUGUGCAGUUGCUGCAGCUGAAAAGGCGGUAACUCCUUCCAGAAAUAUUGUGGGGUACUCUAACCUCACCCUUUUGGUCCCACAUGCUGUCUCCCUGCUUCUGUUGGAGAAAAUACGUCACAUUUGUCAGCACAGAGAUGGUUGAAGUAUAACACUGUCAUACUUGAUAUGCCUAGCAUCAUUGUGAAACGUUGUUCUGUUCUGAAUUCUGCCUCUCUUCUCCCUACAGAGGACAAUGGAGAACCACAUGACUGUGUUGCUCUCACUAACGAUUUUUGUUCCCCCAGGGCAGACUUAAAGAGCGACCCUUUAGAAAAUCCAGACAUGAUCCUCUAUGUGGAUGGUUCAGCCUCCAGAGACCCAGAGACGGGAAAGAACAAAGUAGGUUUUGCCAUAGUCUCAGAUCACAAGGUCCUCAAGGCGUCACGUCUGCCCUCGAACCUGUCGGUGCAGGCUGCAGAGCUCUGUGCCCUCAUUGAGGCAUGCAAAUUGGCGGCAGGGCAAUCUGUCAAUAUUUUUACGGACAGUAGGUAUGCAUUUGGAAACAUAGAAAAUUUCUCACUAGCACAGGAUCUCCCAUUGCACAUCAUAAACUGGUCUCUGAGUUGUUGGAUGCUGUUCUACUCCCUAGAGCCAUUGCUGUGUGUAAGUGUGCUGCUCAUACUAACAAUACUAAUCUUGUGUCUCAAGGGAAUGCCAGGGUGGACGCGGCAGCUAAGUGUGCAGCCUCGGCUUCCAGUCCACCCUCUAACCUUGCCUUUCCUCAGGUUUCUACCCCUUGUUUACAGCUAGCGGACCUUCAGAGCACUGCCACCCAGGACGAGAGAUAAGUCUGGAAACAGGCAGGCUGUAUCCUUGCAAACUCAGUCUGGGUUUGUCCCUCGGGCCGUCCCUGUCUACCAAAAUACAUGUUCCCUUUCUAUGCAAAAUUGACACAUGGGCUCACCCAUGUGUCAAAAGGGGUGAUGGUAGCAGAAGUAACAAAGAGAUGGUUCACAAAGGGGUUUUCAAAUUAUGCUGCGAAAUUAUUGCAAGCAAUGCUUGAUAUGUGCACAACAUAAUGCAGGUCAAGGUAUCAGACUAACUCAAGCAGCACACCCAAUACCAGACAAACCAUUUGAUCACCUCCAAAUGGACUUUAUUGAACUGACACCUAGUGAAGGGAAAGGGUGUUGCCUGGUAAUAGUUGAUGUUUUCAAAAUGGGUUGAAGUAUUCCCCACAGCUAAACAAGACUCAGAGGCAGUAGUCAAAGCACUCCUGAGAGAUGUAAUUCCUAGGUGGGGUAUACCUAGCAAAAUCUCAAGUGACAAUGGAACACCCUUUGUUAAUGCAGCCCUAAAGAAAAUAGGAGCAUUCCUAGGGAUAGACCUGAAACAACAUUGUGCCUAUCAUCCUGCCAGUGCAGGAGCAGUAGAGAGGGAAAAUGGGUCCCUUAAAAAUAAACUAAGCAAAGUUUGUGCAGAAACAGAGCUAGGAUGGACAAAGGUCCUCCCUGUAGUACUCACAAAUGAGGAUGCAAACUAGGCCUAAACAUGGGUUAAGCCCAUUCGAAAUUCAGUUUGGACGAGUACCCAACAUAGGAAUAGGGCCAGCCCAAGGAACACUGCCGAACAGCAGACUGUGUGAUGAUGCAAUGUUGAAUUACUGUGCAACGUUGUCCUCUGCUUUGAAAUAUAUCCACAAACAGGUAAAGAAGCACUUCCCAAACCCGCUGAGGGACCUCUGCAUGAUCUACAACCAGGGGAUUGGAUCGUGGUGAAGGACUUCCGAUGAACCAAGUGGAACAAGCCACGGUGGAAUAGCCCAUUCCAGGUCCUGCUCGCAACCCCAACGGCAGUGAAGGUCACAGGCAGAGUGACGUGGAUCCACGCUAGCCACUGCAGGAGGGUUCCUGAACCGGCUGAGCAGGAGGAGGAGGAAGGCCUAAGUGACCAGACGCUGACUAAAGCUCGUGAGGAAGAAAGGCAUCACUACAUGGAACAGUGCGAGUAUCACAUCAAUCACGCACGCACUCUCAAUAGGGAAGAGUAUUUCAGUGUCUAGCCGAUAGACAAGUCUUAGGUUUUCGAGUUUCCUCCAAUUCCUGGUGAGGUGGGACGAGGGCUGAUAGGGCAUACCCGCCCUCUGAGCACCAAUACACGUCAAGAAGGGCAAGGGUUAACUCGGUAACAUCACUGAGGCACUGAACAAGAUGCGCAAGGUUGCUGGACAAUUACGAGCAGAUGAACAUGGAGGAGUUGAAGACAGCUGAUCAUGUUAGUUCAGUGGAUGGAAGACUCUGAUUCUAUCCACCAUACCGGUCCUGGGCUUAGUGAUUGUGAUGCUAUGUUUGCUCCCUGUUUUCUGUCAAUGUUGUAUGUCUGUGUUUCAGAGGCAGCUGACAAAUAUUGGUUACCAGAUGGUAAAAAUAGACUCAGACGACUUGCCUGACUGGCCUCCAAAACCCACACGAAGACCACAACCCACACGAAGACCACAACCCACCGUUCGAUGACAUCAGCACAGUUGACAUGAAAUUAGCCCUAACUUAAAACAUUUUCAUUUGUGGUUGUUUCCUGUUCUAUUGUUUCCUGAUCUAUGUAUAUAGCUUGCUAGCAUUAACUUAAGAUGUCUAUGUCUUUUAAAAAACAGCCUUAGCAUUAUCCCUGUACACUCAAUGACGUGUUAAGUCGAAUCUCUCUGAGAACUCUUAUCACUGAAACUGUGUACAGUUCCUUUCUUUCCUUUUAGCAAUUAUUAUCCUAUAGGAUAAUAAGGGGGGAAAUGUGAAGGAAAAUUAAUGGACGAACAUUAUUAUUCUCUGUGUUUCUGUAUGUUGAGCUAAAGUGGCUUAGUUACUGAGAAGAGAUGUUUUUUUCCAAUGUUCUAAUCACUGUUAUGUGGCCUUGGUGGUAAUGAGCAGGGUGCUUGAGUUCGUCCUGCUUGCAUCUUCUCAUGAUGUAACCACCUUUCCUGACCUCGGUGGUGAUAAGCAGGGUGCCUGAGUUCUCAUAACUAUGCAUCCGCCUGCAUAUACCAGAGCAUGCCAGGUGCAUGCUUUAACAAAGCUUCAUAGAAAAUCUUGAGCCAAUCACGUGAAGAUGCAAGCAGUAAGCGAAUGCCUUUAGAGUAUAAUAGAUAGCAGCCACUAAAACACAACUCAGAGUGCGCGUACUCUUGGCAUCAUCAGAAGUGGUGUCUUCUUCUAUUCUUCUCUUUCCUUUCCUAUUUUAUAUAUCUUUAUAUGAUCUACUAUAAUAAAUAACUGAAAAGAUGACUCCUAAGCAUUCUGAAGUGUUUAUUAGAAAUUUCCAUUACACCAUCUACCAGGAGAUUUUAGAGUACUUCAUGCUUCCAUCUGCUGACGAGCUUUUUGGAGAUGCUGAUUUCCUUUUCCAUUAGGACUUAGCACCUACCCACAGUGCCAAAACUACUACCAAAUGUGUUUGAUUGGCCAGCCAACUUGCCUGACCUGAACCCCAUAGAGAAUCUAUGGUGUAUUGUCAAGAGGAAGAUGAGAAACACCUGACUCAAAAAUACAGAUACGCUGAAGGCCACUAUCAAAGCACCCUGGGCUUCAGUAAAACCUCAGCAGUGCCACAGACUGAUCACCUCCAUGCUACACCGCAUUGAUCCAGUAAUUCAUGUGUUGGUGAUCUUAUGUCCACUGUAGCCUCAGGUUCCUGUCCUUGGCAUACAGGAACUUGACGUGGUUUUCCAGUCAUCCUCAAGGUUUGACAUGUUUGUUCUGAGAUGCUUGUCUUCUAUGUUGACAAUAUAAGCAGUGUCUCUGAUAUUUUUUAUUGCUUUUGUUUUGUAUCGCUUAUGCUUAUUGCUUUUGUAAUGCUUAUUGUCGAGGAAUAAUUAAAUUAUUAGCUACACUAACUUGAGCUGCAAACACAGCGCAUGAGUGCUAGGUCAAACAUUCUUUAAAUCUUUUUUUUAACUUUACUAAAACAUUAACAGUAUUUUAUUUAUUAUUAUUUAGCAAAUUAAAAAUGUUAAAAUAUCGCCUAUAUCUCUCACACACUACACACUUUACAGUUUCAUGACCCUGUUUAGUGUCUUGUGGCUAUAUUAAAAUUUGUGCCCAAUUAACUGUCAGAGCAUGAUUUAAAUAAAACAGAUUUUUUUUCAUGGCACUGUCUAGUAACUUGCUGUGUCUCUCAACAGCAGAGACAGUCGACUCGCCCCGGCAUGCUUCAUGCUUUCUGCCACUGUAUUUCUAUAAGCUGCCAAAUAAUGAAGCUGGAAGCUAUAUUUAUUAUCUAAACAAAUUAGAUUAAUUACAAUUAGGGCUAUCAUGCAGCAAAAUAUUGGCGAUAUACUUGACACGUUUUAAAUGUUUAUUUGAAUGCUUGCCAUCUUCUUAUUCAUAUAUCAUAUUACUCUUGACACUUUUUGUCUCUUGCUUUUAUGUUAUGGGAUGUAUGGAUGCUGUCAGUCCCUCACUUACUUGCUCACUCGAGUUUGUAGACAGCAGUGGCGGCUGGUAGUCUUUCAAACAGGGGAGGCUGGUCGGUUAUGAUAUUUCCAGAUUUUAAAAGAAAAGACACAUCAAUUUUGCCCAUACUCUUGCCUCUGAUCUGGCUGAUUGUUGGCAGGGUCACAAACUGUGAAAUAACAGGUUCUUUUGGCCCAUUAGCCUACUGUCCGAUAUACAUGAUGGUGGUGUGUGUGGGGGGGUAUAUUUUAACAUUUUAUAUUUUAAAAUUGUGGCAUGUUGUUUAAAAAUUUAUCAUUAUUGAAAGCAGCUCUUUGUCAGGAACCUCAGCAGUAACAGCAGAGUGUUCUGGAAUAGGCACAAGCACUGACCUUGGGGAGCCAGACAUAGAGCUGGGUGCCACACAUUUCAUUCAAUGACACUUUCCCUAUAUUUUACUUAUUUUGACUGAGAAAUGUUUUAUUGACAAUUUUGAUAACCCUUCACUUUUAAUCCAGGUCUGUAGUGUGAAAUGUUCUCGGCUGUGUUUUUGUUUAAAAAUGUUUUCCAAAUUGUAGCUGUGUUUAAUUCAUAUCCAGAAAAAUAUAUAUUCCAAUAUAAUAUACUCAGCAUAAACAUUUUAAAUAAAUUCUAUAUUUUUGGUCCAUCCAUGACAUAUUACUAAAGUAGCCUAUUUACUGUUGUUGAUGUGGGUCACUUGCUGUUAGCCAAUUCACUUUCUCGUACCAGGAGAGCUGAAAGGAACGAGUAUUAUUCCCUACCUUUUUCACCAAGUCAAUUUGAGGCGUUGGUCUACCCUGCUCUUUAAUUUUAAUUUUUUCCUCGAAAGGAAGACUGGCAAAUGGCUUCGCCAAAAUUAAAUCAGCAAUGCUUGGCAUCCGUGCGCAGCUUUCUUGCUAGCUGACUAGCCCCCUCAAGUUCAAGUUCAGUCAUUCAAAUAAACGACAUUUCUGGAACUAAGAUAGCAAACUUGAUAACACUAUAUUUAAACUUUAUUUACAAUGAAAAUAUAUACAAACUAAAAAAGCUGGUAGAAACUGUAUGUAAUGAAUGAAAUCGAAAUGUAAGCUGAUCUCUUACAGUACACCACAGCACUUGCGAAUCCGCAUGGGACUGAACUGAGAUUCACCGCUGCCUGUCUAUAUUUGAAACUAGCUGUCAAUCAAAGAAAAUAUCCGGCCGCUUUCACCAAUCACCAGUCUCCUCACGGAAAGCUUUGCCAUGUCCCUCCCACUGUGAGGCUCGGAGUCCGUGGGCGGGCAUUUUCGCAGUAUUUGUCCAAUAAUCAUCUUGCAUUUUGAGAUUGAAAAGCGCAUAGCUCCCAAAUGCCAUUGAAGUCCACUGAGGCUGGGAGUCCGUGGGAGUCCGUAGGCAGGCGUUUUCGCAAUAUUUGUCCAAUAAUCUCAUCUCAUCUCAUCUCAUCUCAUUAUCUCUAGCCGCUUUAUCCUUCUACAGGGUCGCAGGCAAGCUGGAGCCUAUCCCAGCUGACUACGGGCGAAA